UACGUAGGGGGCUAGCGUUGUCCGGAAUCAUUGGGCGUAAAGAGCGUGUAGGCGGUCCGGUAAGUCCGCUGUGAAAGUCGGGGGCUCAACCCUCGAAUGCCGGUGGAUACUGUCGGGCUAGAGUGCGGAAGAGGCGAGUGGAAUUCCUGGUGUAGCGGUGAAAUGCGCAGAUAUCAGGAGGAACACCAAUAGCGAAGGCAGCUCGCUGGGACGGUACUGACGCUAAGGCGCGAAAGCCAGGGGAGCAAACGGG
rnacentral:rRNA from 1 species